GGCGGGGGCACGGGGGGAACGCGAAGAACCUUACCAGGUCUUGACAUACUAUGCAAAUCUAAGAGAUUAGACGUUCCCUUCGGGGACAUGGAUACAGGUGGUGCAUGGUUGUCGUCAGCUCGUGUCGUGAGAUGUUGGGUUAAGUCCCGCAACGAGCGCAACCCUUAUUAUCAGUUGCCAGCAUUAAGUUGGGCACUCUGGUGAGACUGCCGGUGACAAACCGGAGGAAGGUGGGGAUGACGUCAAAUCAUCAUGCCCCUUAUGACCUGGGCUACACACGUGCUACAAUGGAUGGUACAACGAGUUGCGAACUCGCGAGAGUAAGCUAAUCUCUUAAAGCCAUUCUCAGUUCGGAUUGUAGGCUGCAACUCGCCUACAUGAAGUCGGAAUCGCUAGUAAUCGCGGAUCAGCA
rnacentral:rRNA from 2 species